UACGGGGGGAGCAAGCGUUGUUCGGAUUUACUGGGCGUAAAGGGCGCGUAGGCGGCCAGCACAAGUCAGUUGUGAAAUCUCCGGGCUUAACUCGGAAAGGUCAACUGAUACUGUGCGGCUAGAGUGCAGAAGGGGCAACUGGAAUUCUCGGUGUAGCGGUGAAAUGCGUAGAUAUCGAGAGGAACACCUGCGGCGAAAGCGGCGCGCUGGACCACAACUGACGCUGAGGAACGAAAGCUAGGGGAGCAAACAGG
rnacentral:rRNA from 1 species